GGGCCCGUAGCUCAACUGGCAGAGCCUCCGGCUCAUAACCGGCAGGUUCCUGGUUCGAGUCCAGGCGGGCCCACCA
rnacentral:tRNA from 1 species